UUAAAACAAUAAUCACAACACAUAACAUAAAACACGGACAGUCGUGCAAUCCUAACCACUUUUCCGUCACACGCUUUGUGGAGAAAAGGAAACAACUAACUAAAAAGGAUUGUUUUUUUUUCAGUAUAAAAGCGUCCUCGAAACAAAACAACAAAGGAGGUGUUUGUGUGGAAGAGAAGAUGACGCUUCGGUCACGUAAUCGAAAGCAGCACCCGUUAAACGAACGUCAGCCUGCGCAAACAUGGCGUUUCGAGUUCAUCUGAUGAAGAUGAACAUGCUCCACGCCAGGGACCAUCGCUUGGCAGAGCAUUUUGUGCCUCCCGUGGGGCACAUGGCCCACAAAUCAUCUCCCCGGCGACUUCCAGCGAUGACGGCAAAGAGGCUGCAUUGCUUCGCAUGGCCGACGCCGGGCACACGUCAGCAAUUCGCCGGGCACACGUCAGCAAUUCGCUGGAAUCGUUUCGUAAUGACGACGGCGAAAACGAUGAAUUGGAGAGCGAUUUGGAUCCCUAUCUGUCGGACGAAUACGUGCCUUCGGACAUAACGGAAAGAAGCUGAGAGUUCUCGCCAGAGCCUCUGGAACGAGGCGAUUGUCCAAGCAGAAGCCAAAAGGUCAUGCAUCUGGACGUGGUGGGAUGAAUCGAUGUGGUGACAAACUGGAUGGAAGCCAAAAACCAUCCUUGCCACAGCUGCACGUUCAUUGUUCAAUUUGCACUUUUGUUCACAGUUCAAUAGUUUUGUUGUGUGCAAAUAAAUUAUUUUGCUUCAAAAACAUUAUUUGUAAUGUUCUUUUGUAGGAGGAACACAUUAUUGAGGUAUUUGAGCUGUCACAAAAGCAAAAAAUAGUGUAAAACCUGAAAUGAUGCUUGAAAUGCAUGCUUUUACAAAAAGCUAAUUUUCUCUGGAUUUCUGCAGAAAAUCGGCCUUUUCCAUAAAACUUAGUAGUUUUCUAAUGCUGAUUG